rnacentral:rRNA from 1 species
AGCCACAGCCAUAUCAACCUGCAGCCUAAGGCUGGUUACUCACUGAAGCUAAGCAGGGCUGAGCCUGGUCAGUACCUGGAUGGGAGACCACAUUGAAAAACUAGGUUUGCUGUUGGAA